UACGUAGGGGGCGAGCGUUGUCCGAAUUUACUGGGCGUAAAGCGCGCGUAGGCGGUGAAUUAAGUUGGUGGUGAAAGUCCAAGGCUCAACCUUGGAAUUGCUUCCAAUACUGGUUUACUUGAGGCAUGGAUGGGGAAGCAGAAUUCCGGGUGUAGCGGUGAAAUGCGUAGAUAUCCGGAGGAAUACCGGUGGCGAAGGCGGCUUCCUGGCCAUGAUUCCUGACGCUGAGGUGCGAAAGCUAGGGUAGCGA
rnacentral:rRNA from 1 species